AAUCAACGCUGGCGGCGUGCCUCAGACAUGCAAGUCGAACGAUUAAAGCUCUCUUCGGAGAGUGUAUAGAGUGGCGCACGGGUGAGUAACACGUAAGUAAUCUACCCUCGAGUGGGGAAUAACGUCCGGAAACGGACGCUAAUACCGCAUAAUGCAGCGGCACCGCAAGGUGACAGUUGUUAAAGGAGAAAUUCGCUUGAGGAGGAGCUUGCGGCAGAUUAGCUUGUUGGUAAGGUAACGGCUUACCAAGGCUACGAUCUGUAACCGGUCUUAGAGGACGGUCGGUCACACUGACACUGAAUAACGGGUCAGACUCCUACGGGAGGCAGCAGUCGGGAAUUUUGGGCAAUGGGCGAAAGCCUGACCCAGCAACGCCGCGUGAAGGAUGAAGUAUUUCGGUAUGUAAACUUCG
rnacentral:rRNA from 1 species